AAUGAUUUAACUGCACAUCUCAGCCCAUGAGAAGUACACUUUGUAAUUGACCACCUGUGAAUCUGUAUGGAAGCCAUAUAGAAUAAAAGAAAGAGAGCUGUGUAGGGAUGAAACGGUUACCGGUUUCACGAUCAACCACAGUACAAUUCCCUACGAUUAGUAUUACCGUUUGAAAUUUGAAUUAUCAUUAAAAACUGUGUUUGAUUACCACGGUUUGGAAAAACUCGCGGUAAAUACUGUCCAGCAUCAACCAAAUUUAGCAACGGUCUGACGCAGGCGCAGCAUGCAACGUGGGUUUUGUUUUGUGUGAAAACAUGACGGAAGGAAAUGACAGCACUCGGGAGAUUUGUCAGCCUUCCAAGAGGACCACAUGUUAAGUGUGGUCGUAUUUUAUUUAUUUUUUUACAAGAGUGUUGAGGGGAAACUUCAUCGAAGAUGAUCACCUUGUCUGCAGAACAACAACACCAAAAAAUCGCUGCGAAAGGGCGCAACACUUCAAAUCUCUUAGGUCAAUCUUCAUGACCACCACCCCACUACUUUAUAGCGAAUGCAAGAGAUGGACGUGCAGCAGGCAAACCCAGUGAUGCUUACAGGUCUCUCCUCGUCUACAGUUGUGACACAGACACUCUAGCAUUUAAAAAGGCAGGCUGCUUAUGCACCCACAUCAACAACAACAACAAAAAUGCUCAAGACCUCGACUGUAGCCCUUUCAUAUUACAUUGCAAAGGACGUGAUGCCAUUUCAAAUUGUUGAGAGGCCUGGCUUUCUGAGGCUGAUGAAGGUUGCCGUGCCUCACUACAAUGUGAGUGCUGCUAAUUGUAUUUGUUGUUUAUUGGUUUUCAAUAUAAAACUUGGUGAAAUGA